CCUACGGGUGACAGCAGUGGGGGAUAUUGCACAAUGGGGGAAACCCUGAUGCAGCGACGCCGCGUGGGUGAAGAAGCGCCUCGGCGCGUAAAGCCCUGUCAGCCGGGAAGCAAAUGACGGUACCUGAAGAAGAAGCCCCGGCUAACUACGUGCCAGCAGCCGCGGUAAUACGUGGGGGGCAGGCGUUAUCCGGAUUUACUGGGUGUAAAGGGGGGGCGGACGGCGUUGCAAGCCAGGAGGGAAAGCUCGGGGCCCAACCCCGGGACUGCUGUUGGAACUGCGUGGCUAGAGUGCAGGAGGGGCAUGCGGAAUGCGUGGUGUAGCGGUGAAAUGCGUAGAUAUCAGGAGGAACACCGGUUGCGAAGGCGGCCUGCUGGACUGCAACUGACGUUGAGGCCCGAAAGCGUGGGUAGCGAACAGGAUUAGAUACCCCUGUAGUC
rnacentral:rRNA from 1 species